rnacentral:rRNA from 1 species
UACGUAGGUGGCGAGCGUUGUCCGGAUUUACUGGGCGUAAAGAGCGCGCAGGCGGUCGUACAAGUCGCGUGUGAAAGCCCCCGGCUCAACUGGGGAGGGUCACGCGAUACUGUUCGACUCGAAGGCAGGAGAGGGUAGUGGAAUUCCCGGUGUAGUGGUGAAAUGCGUAGAUAUCUGGAGGAACACCGGUGGCGAAGGCGGCAUCCUGGACCGGCAUUGACGCUGAGGCGCGAAAGCCAGGGGAGCAAACGGG